GCGAGUGUAGCUCAGUGGUAGAGCGUAACCUUGCCAAGGUUGAUGUCGCGCGUUCAAGUCGCGUCACUCGCU
rnacentral:tRNA from 1 species